rnacentral:rRNA from 1 species
AGAACGAACGCUGGCGGCAUGCCUAACACAUGCAAGUCGAACGAGACCUUCGGGUCUAGUGGCGCACGGGUGCGUAACGCGUGGGAAUCUGCCCUUGGGUUCGGAAUAACAGCGAGAAAUUGCUGCUAAUACCGGAUGAUGACGUAAGUCCAAAGAUUUAUCGCCCAAGGAUGAGCCCGCGUAGGAUUAGCUUGUUGGUGAGGUAAGAGCUCACCAAGGCGACGAUCCUUAGCUGGUCUGAGAGGAUGAUCAGCCACACUGGGACUGAGACACGGCCCAGACUCCUACGGGAGGCAGCAGUGGGGAAUAUUGGACAAUGGGCGGAAAGACCUGAUCCAGCAAUGCGCGUGAGUGAUGAAGGCCUUAGGGUUGUAAAGCUCUUUUACCCCGGAUGAUAAUAGACAGUACCGGAAGAAUAAAGACUCCGGCUAACUACCGUGCCAGCAGCCGC